rnacentral:misc_RNA from 1 species
GUUUGGAAAAGGUUCAGGCGGAUCUGUUCGAAAGGCAUGUCUGUGGAGGUUUGAAGAUGAACAUUCUUCAGUAUGCAAUGGUGAUGUUCUGGUGCAACUAUUCGAAAGAGGAUUCAUGGAUGGGUAGAUCACUAUUUGUGCUUGGGAGGCAUCUACUUCUGUGCAGGGAAGAUGUAAUCCUGCUUGGUUCCCUUUCUGAGAGUGCAUCUUGCUCCUCCUAUUUCUCGUUGGACUGUUGUUGUUCCAUUGUCAGCGUGUCAGAAGUGGUAAUCGAAACCGCAGAUUGCUAUUGCGUGAGCCUGACUUUGGAAGGUGUCAUGUCAGAGUUCCCCCUUUCAUUGAAGGAGGGCAAGGUAGUCAAAAAUACUAAACUCAUGAAGAGAAAACCUGUGUCAGGUCCCCUGAAAUGGAAGCUAAAAUGGUUUUCAGAAGAAAGUCUCUUCAAAUUUGUGGCUUUAUUGAAAGCGUUACGUAGUGAAACAACCACAAGUGGCCUACUUGUAUACUGUCA